GGCUGAUUUUUGUCGACCGAAGAAACGUUCGGAGUGAUGGAGGCGGGAGGGGAAGGCGAAGGUGGCGGAGGAGCCGAAAGGGUUGGAAAUACGGCGGCUGUAUGGAAGGAGAAGCUGGCGAGGGAAUGGCAGAAGAUCAGAGAGCAUGCGGAGACGUAUCCGUACGUUUGGGGAUCGUAUAUUGUGGUCUAUGGAGGCUUUGGUGUAUACUUAACCUACAGGUGGCGGAAGCUUCGGCGGACUGAGGGCCGCAUCCGCGUCCUCCAGGAGAGGCUUCGCAAGCUCGUCGAGGAUGAGGAGGCCGCUGCUGCUAGCUCCGGAAGCGGUGCGGUUGCUGAUCCUCAAUCAGCUACUCCAAAGUCGGUUCCGAUGUCGACGAAGGUGGAUGAUAAGCUAAGUUAGCGAAUCUGAAGAGGUCUUGUUUUUGUCGAACUGUUUAAGUGAUAAAGCAUUUGCUCAUAAUCGGUGGGGAGAAAAUUAUCUCGCAACAGUUGUUUCAUGCGAGCCCAACUAUGAACCCUCCCACGCCCUUCACGUUUUCACGUUUGAACCAAUUGAAUCCACCAAGCUCCCGCUCUCCCUUUCAACCAACAUGCUAUAUACUUGACUUGCUUCUCCGGUGAGAUGUCCAUGUAUCGAAGAAGGAUUCUACCGCUUGCUCCCAAUCCAGGUUACGCCGAUUUAGAUCGCUGGAAUCUUCUCCUGUUGGGAUUCACUAGAACAGACUCUCCCAUAGCUGGUAUGGUUGCCAAGCAUACCGGUGGAAGGAGAUCUCCGCCCUUCAGAUUUCGCAGCUCUCGUCGCGUCUCCACCACAAAUUAUUGGAAACUAUGAUCAAUCAUUCCACCGUGCAGGGCUUCCUCAGUUCUCACAUCCGACGAAGAGAUUUAUGCAAGUUUUGGAUGAAGCAGGUCAGCACUUGAAGGGCUUCAAAUUCCACCAUUGCUGAUAAAACUGUACGACUUUUUCUUUUAACUUUGAAUAACCUAUAGAUGAACUAGACACACCCUAUAUUUUGAAUCUCCCAAAUUUGAGCUUUUUAAUGUAAUCUUCUUUAUUAUUGAUCCAAAUUCAUUAUUGAUUUCUAUUUAUUCUAGAAUAAUGUACUCACUUUUAGCAACUUCUCAGUGUCAUC